rnacentral:tRNA from 2 species
GCUGGUGUAGCUCAAUAGGUAGAGCAAUUGAUUUGUAAUCAAUAGGUUGGGGGUUCAAGUCCUCUCACCAGCUCCA